CCAAUUUAUGUUGGGGGGGUGGGCUCAGAAUUUCCAUACUCCUUCCUCAGGAGGACGCAAAAGAUAACUUGAGGCAAUGACAUUUAUUGGAAACUGAGGUUCCUCCCAGGAUCUCACAGCAAGUCGGGAAGAAAGCAAAAUGGGCAAAAUUGCACAAAACAGUGACUGUCACUGGGAAAGAUAUUCCCUCCUCGUACAUUGCUAUGCAAGAACUCCAAGAACUGAUCAAAAAAUACCAGACUUUUGAAAGGGCUCUGCGGUGAGGAAAUACACAGGAUUAACAUGCAGAGCUUUAAAGCUGCCGGCCAUAAAUCAUUUCAGAACUAAAGAGCUGCGUUAAAAGAUAUGGGGAUGCCCGAGUAGUAACUGGUCUGAUGUAGAAGAGACAGCUGUCGUCUCGGAUUGGAAUCCUUUAAAAGCUCACAGAUCGGGCAGAGCAAUUUAAUGAAUAAUAAGAAGGAUGUUUAAAAUA